UCCUCAUGAGAAGAUAUGAGGUCUGACCUGCCCACUGAAGUAAUUUUGAAGGGCCGCGGUAUACUAACCGUGCGAAGGUAGCAUAGUCAAUAGUCUUUUAAUUGGAGGCUUGAAUGAACGGUUGGACAUAGGGGACACUGUCUCGAUUUAAGGUUAUGAAUUUAACUUUUGUGUGAAAAGGCAUUAAUAUUUUAAAGGGACGAUAAGACCCUAUAAAACUUGAUGGUUGAUUUAAUUUUUGUAAUUUUUGGAUAAACGGGGAUGUUAAGUGUGCCCAUUGUGCUGGGGCGGCAAGAAUAAAAAUAUGUAACUGUUCUUUUAUAUUAAAUAGUUGUCUUUAGAGUUAGACCCUGAAUUUUGGGUUAAAAGAUUAAGUUACUUUAGGGAUAACAGCGUUAUUUCUCUUGAGAGUUCAUAUCGACAGGGAUGUUUGCGACCUCGAUGUUGAAUUAAAGUUUUCCCCGGGAGUAGAAGUUCGGGUGGUAGGUCUGUUCGACCUUUAAAACU
rnacentral:rRNA from 1 species